UUCGCGGACUUGAUCAGCUCAUAAGCUCGUCGCAGGGCAGCUGCAUCUGUCGGGCAGAUCAGCAGAAAGGCCCGGCAUGGGUGUGUCAAAAAGACACAGUCCCCGGAAAAACCUUCCUCUGAAUUCAGGGGUCUGAAUUCCUAGUCAGACUGCCCACAACGCUCCCAACUCAACAAUUAGGCCUCAACAACUCCCGCAUCACGGGAGGCCUUCUGUGCCACUCUCCUGGGCUCAAGAGACUCCCAUUAGCAGAGGUGCCACCUGUGGCAGGUCUACUUGUGACAUCGAUCUAAGCUUUUAGGGAUGUGAGGAGUGAAGACUGAGCAGAUCUGCCUGUAGCUGCGGUCUGGGACAGAAGCCCCAUUCCAAGGGACCGGAGCAGUCGUGGAGUCAGGAAAGGAACCAGACAAAACCGGAAGCCAGAGAGGAACCCCACCUGGAAGGAGAGCAGUGGAGCUGGACCAACCAGGGAAGAGAUUGGAAUCCAAUACUGAAGUGUGAGCGCUACUGAAUACAGGCUUCUUUUGCACCUUUAUGAGGCGGGAAAAUGCCAUGGACCAUCUAUGUGUGGGUGUAUAAUAAAGUUGGGUAUGGCUGAUACAAUAUUGAAACUUAAAUGUCACAUUUUCCCAAGGGUCCCAGAGCAGUAUUCCACCCUAGAGACAGAAGCCCCAAGUCCCUCUAACUUGACCAUCUCUCCAUUCCUAAGAUUGCACUGUUAUGAGUCUUCGCUUAUUCAUAAAGAUUCUCUGCAAUGUGUACACUGCUGUAAACAUAAAGAUAUUUACUCCCACCAAGCAACCAUCGCUCACGCAUUAUGAAGCAAGAUCUGUUUCCGAAUCCAAGCACAUCAAAUA